rnacentral:rRNA from 1 species
GGCGGCGUGCUUAACACAUGCAAGUCGAACGGGGAUUACACGGAGAUGCGAUUUCGGUCAAAUCAAGUGCAAUCUUAGUGGCGGACGGGUGAGUAACGCGUGGGUAACCUGCCUUGCACUGGGGGAUAACACUUAGAAAUAGGUGCUAAUACCGCAUAAGCGCACGGUCCUGCAUGGGACAGUGUGAAAAACUCCGGUGGUGCAAGAUGGAUCCGCGUCUGAUUAGCUGGUUGGCGGGGUAAAGGCCCACCAAGGCGACGAUCAGUAGCCGGCCUGAGAGGGUGGACGGCCACAUUGGGACUGAGACACGGCCCAAACUCCUACGGGAGGCAGCAGUGGGGGAUAUUGGACAAUGGGGGGAACCCUGAUCCAGCGACGCCGCGUGAGUGAAGAAGUAUUUCGGUAUGUAAAGCUCUGUCAGCAGGGAAGAAAGCAAUGACGGUACCUGACCAAGAAGCCACGGCUAACUACGUGCCAGCAGCCGCGGUAAUACGUAGGUGGCAAGCGUUAUCCGGAUUUACUGGGUGUAAAGGGCGUGUAGGCGGGACUGCAAGUCAGAUGUGAAAACCACGGGCUCAACCUGUGGCCUGCAUUUGAAACUGUAGUUCUUGAGUACUGGAGAGGCAGACGGAAUUCCUAGUGUAGCGGUGAAAUGCGUAGAUAUUAGGAGGAACACCAGUGGCGAAGGCGGUCUGCUGGACAGCAACUGACGCUGAGGCGCGAAAGCGUGGGGAGCAAACAGGAUUAGAUACCCUGGUAGUCCACGCUGUAAGCGAUGGAUACUAGGUGUGGGGGGACUGACCCCCUCCGUGCCGCAGUUAACACAAUAAGUAUCCCACCUGGGGAGUACGAUCGCAAGGUUGAAACUCAAAGGAAUUGACGGGGGCCCGCACAAGCGGUGGAGUAUGUGGUUUAAUUCGAAGCAACGCGAAGAACCUUACCAGGGCUUGACAUCCCGGCGACCGGUGUAGAGAUACACUUUCUUCUUCGGAAGCGCCGGUGACAGGUGGUGCAUGGUUGUCGUCAGCUCGUGUCGUGAGAUGUUGGGUUAAGUCCCGCAACGAGCGCAACCCUUAUUGUUAGUUGCUACGCAAGAGCACUCUAGCGAGACUGCCGUUGACAAAACGGAGGAAGGUGGGGACGACGUCAAAUCAUCAUGCCCCUUAUGUCCUGGGCCACACACGUACUACAAUGGUGGUUAACAGAGGGAGGCAAAACCGCGAGGUGGAGCAAAUCCCUAAAAGCCAUCCCAGUUCGGAUCGCAGGCUGCAACCCGCCUGCGUGAAGUUGGAAUCGCUAGUAAUCGCGGAUCAGCAUGCCGCGGUGAAUACGUUCUCGGGCCUUGU